rnacentral:lncRNA from 10 species
UUGCCAACCCCUGACAAAGCCCAAACUCCUCAGCCUGGAGCCCUGCACGUUCUGGCCUGUUAGGCACCUACCUCUCCAGGAGGGCCAGAGUUAGGGUAAGAAGAGUGAGGCACUUGCUUUGAAUGCAACAUUUAAGGGGAUGCCAAAAAUCUCAGUAAUUGAGAAAAACUAAGUUUCAUGCAUUGUUUUUUAAAACAUCAAAAUUAAAUUUAAAAAAACCAAUGAUAAGCCAAUAUCAAGAUUUUAAAUAAUGACAGGUUCAAUAAACUGAAGUGGCCGGGCGUGGUGGCUCAUGCCUGUAAUCCCAGCACUUUGGGAGGCCGAAGUGGGCGGAUCACCUGAGGUUAGGAGUUCCAGACCAACCUGGAAAAAAUGGUGAAACCCCACCUCUACUAAAAAAUACAAAAAUUAGCCGGACGUAGUGGCGGGUGUCUGUAACCCCAGCUACUCGGGAGGUUGAGGCAGGAGAAUUGCUUGAACCUGGGAGGCGGAGGUUGCAGUGAGCCGAGAUCACACCACUGCACUCCAGCCUGAGCAACAAGAAUGAAACUCCAUCUCAAAAAAUAAAAAUAAAAUAAAAAAAUAAACUGAAGUGAAUUAAGAAUUAUUUAAGAUCAUCACUUAGUCAAGAGAAAUUAUCAAGUAGGGCAGUGUUCUCAGUUGAAAAUGAGAGAAUCAAAGUCGAAUUUGAAAAUAUUAUUUCUGCCUUGCUUCCAGUAGAGCCAGGAAAGCAGAUUAUAAUAAAUUCUGCUCUAGGUAUACGUAAAAUCUUUAAACUUAAAAUGAUGUUUUAUUAUACACCAUUUUUCAAUUUGUCAGUAGUAGCUCAAUUAUUUAAUGUUCCGGAUAAAAGUGACCAUUAAACAUACAUGAAAACAUAUAGGCCAGGCACGGUGGCUCAUGCCUGUAAUCCCAGCACUUUGGGAGGCCGAGACGGGUGGAUCACGAGGUCAGAAGAUCAAGACCAUCCUUGCUAACACUGUGAAACCCCGUCUCUACUAAAAAUACAAAAAAUUAGCCAGGCGUGGUGGCGGGCGUCUGUAGUCCCAGCUACUCGGGAAGCUGAGGCAGGAGAAUGGCGUGAACCCGGGAGGCAGAGCUUGCAGUGAGCCAAGAUAGUGCCACUGCACUCCAGCCUGGGCGAAACAGCGAGACUCUGUCUCAAAAAAAAAAAAGAAAAAAAAGAAAAAAAAGAAAAAAUAUAUAUAUAUAUGUAUAUAUAUAUAUAAAUAAAGAGGGACAGACAUUUUUCUCGUGCCUCAGGCUGCAAUUGGCUCAGCAAAGCACAUUAAAAAUCCUGGAUUUCUUUAAAUGUUUGUUCUCCAUGGAGUUUUUUGGCACUAAUUUUGAUUUUAAAAUAUUACAUGAGGCUGGGCGCAGUGGCUCACACCUGUAAUCUCAGCACUUUGGGAGGCCAAAGUGGGCAGAUCACUGGAGGCCAGGAGUUGGAGACGAGCCUGGUUAACAUGGCAAAACCCCAUCUCUACUAAAAAUGUAAAAAUUAGCCAGGCGUGGUGGCACACACCCGUAAUCCCAGCUACUCAAGAGGCUGAGGCACGAGAAUCGCUUGAACCCGGGAGGCGGAGGCUGCAGUGAGCCGAGAUCACGCCACGGCACUCCAGCCUGGGUGACAGAGCAAGAUUCUAUCUCAAAAAAAUAAAAAUAAAAAUAAAAGGGCUAUAGUCUGUAAGUGGCCAUCUAGGCAGGCAGGGAAGUGUAACCUCUGGUAAAAGUUGAAAGUCAGGUAUUUUGAGGGAGGAGGGCUUGGAGCAGGAGUUCUAUGUUGGAUGGGUUGGCUAAAUAUACAUAUUUAACACAUUAUAGGCAGAGUUUUGGGUAUUUAUGAAAGGGUGUCAUGCAUACGUGUGAUGGAUAAAUACCUAAGUUAUAUGCAACUCAUGUUUAUUUUGGGGUGGAGACUUAAUAUUUAAAUGUAUUAUAAUUAAGCCAUCUCUGUCAAGAGAUGAAGCAGGGACUCAGAGGUAUUUGAGUGUGUAGUCUCCUACACACUUGGAGGAGCUAAUGAGAUUAGUAAACACCAAAUGAGGUGCUCAGUAAGUGUUAAAUAUUGGAGGAAAGCAUGAAAGAGACCGACAAAAAUGCAGGUGGGAUGAAUGGAGGACGGAUCUCCUGGGCCUCCUUCCUAGACUCUCCCCGCCUCAACCUGGCCCCACUGCUCUGUUCUGACUCCCUUCUCGCUCUCUCUGUUCAG